GACGAACGCUGGCGGCGUGCCUAAUACAUGCAAGUAGAACGCAGAAGGAGGGCCUUUCUUCUCUGGAUGAGUUGUGAACGGGUGAGUAACGCGUAAGUAACCUGCCUUUUAGUGGGGGAUAACUAUUGGAAACGGUAGCUAAUACCGCAUAAGAGUUGAUGCUGCAUGACAUUUGCUUGAAAGGUGCAAUUGCAGCGGUACCAGUUGCACCUGCGUUGUAUUUGCUAGGUGGUGGGGUAACGGCUUACCAAGGCGACUAGGCAUAGCCCGACUGAGAGGGGGGUUAGCCACCCUGGGAGUGGGACACGGCCCAGACUCCUACAGGAAGCAGCAGGAGGGAAUCUUCGGGAAUGGGCGGAAGUCUGACCGAACAACGCCGAGUGAGUGAAGAAGGUUUUCGGGUCGGAAAGGACGGUUGUCGGGGAAGAAAGGGUGUGAGCGUGGAAAGUUCACAGUGUGACGGUAACUUACAAAAAAGGGCCGGCUAACUACGUG
rnacentral:rRNA from 1 species